AGGACAAAUUGAAAAGGAGUUGCAGGAAAAGACAUCAUUACAACAACUGAAAGAAGCUUCAGUUACUCUUAGAAAGGAUCAGUCUACACAAUGUAUGGAUCCACCAAAAGGACCAGUUUAUGUAGCUAUUGAAGACUGGGAACACGUAGAAAACAAUCAGCUUUCAAUCAAGGAAGGAGAGAAAUUUGAGAUCAAGGAAGAGCGUACUAAUGAAUGGUGGCUAGCAAGAUCAUUAAAUACUGAUGAUGAGGGUCUUGUUCCUUGUUACUCGAUUAAAAAAGAUGAAGAGAGUGAACUGUCAACAUUGGAAUCACUUGAACUAUUUCAUUAUGCAAUGACAGAAAAUCUUGACAUACCUAAAAUCAAGGAAAUUAAGACGAGGAGCAACGUUGAGAGAGCAAGUCUCUUUUGGUCAUUAAUUAAAAAUGAUUCAGUUCUGCUAGAUCAACUUAGAAAAAAA